rnacentral:rRNA from 1 species
UACGUAGGGGGCUAGCGUUGUCCGGAAUCAUUGGGCGUAAAGAGCGUGUAGGCGGUCCGGUAAGUCCGCUGUGAAAGUCGGGGGCUCAACCCUCGAAUGCCGGUGGAUACUGUCGGGCUAGAGUGCGGAAGAGGAGAAUGGAAUUCCUGGUGUAGCGGUGAAAUGCGCAGAUAUCAGGAAGAACACCCGUGGCGAAGGCGGUUCUCUGGGACGGUACUGACGCUGAGGAGCGAAAGCGUGGGGAGCGAACAGG